GGAAGAGCAACAGGUAUCGGUGAAUCCCAUGUGUGCAAAGGACCAGGAAGCACUACAAACAGGGCAACUUGUCAAAGAGCUACAACAAACACAAAGAGAACUAUCACAAAUUCAACAAAUAAACAAGAAUCUGCAAGACGAGCUACAACAAGAAAGAGAGAAUAAUUCAGGGAAACUUCUUUGUGUACAGGACAUCAACUCAUCUCCAAACCAAGCCUUAACUUUCCAGAAAAUUGCAGAGAAUAAAUCACA